GCCGAAGUGGCGGAACUGGUAGACGCACACGUUUCAGGGGCGUGCGGGGGUAACCCUGUACGAGUUCGACUCUCGUCUUCGGCA
rnacentral:tRNA from 1 species